rnacentral:rRNA from 1 species
UAGUCAUACGCUCGUCUCAAAGGACUAAGCCAUGCAAGUGUAAGUAUAAAUCCUUUACUUUGAAACUGCGAGUGGCUCAUUAUAUCAGUUAUCGUUUAUUUGAUAGUCCCUUACUACUUGGAUAACCGUAGUAAUUCUAGAGCUAAUACAUGCGUCAAUACCCUUCUGGGGUAGUAUUUAUUAGAUGGAAACCAACCCAAAAAGGGUGAUGUGGUGAUUCAUAAUAAGCUUGCGGAUCGCCAGUGGCGAUGGAUCAUUCAGGUUUCUGCCCUAUCAGCUUUGGACGGUACGGUAUUGGCGUACCGUGGCUUUAACGGGUAACGGGGAAUUAGGGUUCGAUUCCGGAGAGGGGGCCUGAGAGAUGGCCACCACAUCCAAGGAAGGCAGCAGGCGCGUAAAUUACCCAAUCUUGACACAAGGAGGUAGUGACAAUAGAUAACAAUGCCGGGCCUUUAUAGGUCUGGCAAUUGGAAUGAGAACAAUUUAAAUCCCUUAUCGAGGAUCAAUUA